GAUGAAGAACGUAGCGAAAUGCGAUAAGUAAUGUGAAUUGCAGAAUUCAGUGAAUCAUCGAAUCUUUGAACGCACAUUGCGCCCCUUAGUAUUCCGAGGGGCAUGCCUGUUCGAGCGUCAUUAUAACCCCUCAAGCUCAGCUUGGUGUUGGGGCCUGCCGCACGGGCAGCCCUUAAAAUCAGUGGCGGUGCCAUCUGGCUCUAAGCGUAGUAAUUCUUCUCGCUAUAGAGUCCCGGUGGAUGCUUGCCAUUAACCCCCAAUUUUCUAUGGUUGACCUCGGAUCAGGUAGGGAUACCCGCUGAACUUAAGCAUAUCAAUAAGCGGAGGA
rnacentral:misc_RNA from 1 species